AAAGUACUCCCUCCAUCCCAAAAUUCUUGUCUUAGAUUUUUCUAGAUACGGAUGUAUCAAGUCACAUCUAGACAAAUCUAAGACAAGAAAUUUGGGACAGAGGGAGUAGUUG
rfam:Triticum aestivum genome assembly, contig: Triticum_aestivum_CS42_TGACv1_scaffold_271657_3DS